AUGGAAGUGAUGCAUGACCUUCAGCCUGACAACAAUGAUGUUUUGCUGUAUUCAUACUGUCUGAUCCAU